rnacentral:rRNA from 1 species
UACGUAGGGCGCAAGCGUUGUCCGGAAUUAUUGGGCGUAAAGAGCUCGUAGGCGGCUUGUCACGUCGAUUGUGAAAGCCCGAGGCUUAACCUCGGGUCUGCAGUCGAUACGGGCUAGCUAGAGUGUGGUAGGGGAGAUCGGAAUUCCUGGUGUAGCGGUGAAAUGCGCAGAUAUCAGGAGGAACACCGGUGGCGAAGGCGGAUCUCUGGGCCAUUACUGACGCUGAGACGCGAAAGCGUGGGGAGCGAACAGG